rnacentral:rRNA from 1 species
AUACGGAAGGUCCGGGCGUUAUCCGGAUUUAUUGGGUUUAAAGGGAGCGCAGGCGGCAUAUUAAGCGUGACGUGAAAUGCGGCGGCUCAACCGUCGAUGUGCGUCGCGAACUGGUUUGCUUGAGUGCGUGCGAGGAUGGCGGAAUUCGUGGUGUAGCGGUGAAAUGCUUAGAUAUCACGAAGAACUCCGAUUGCGAAGGCAGCUGUCCAGUCCGUAACUGACGCUAAUGCUCGAAGGUGCGGGUAUCGAACAGGAUUAGAUACCCUGGUAGUCCGCACGGUAAACGAUGGAUGCCCGCUGUCGGCGAUAUACAGUCGGUGGCUAAGCGAAAGCGUUAAGCAUCCCACCUGGGGAGUACGCCGGCAACGGUGAAACUCAAAUGAAUUGGCGGGG